rnacentral:rRNA from 1 species
UGUGACCCCGCCCGUGACUUAAGCAUAUCAAUAAGCGGAGGAAAAGAAACCAACAGGGAUUGCCCUAGUAACGGCGAGUGAAGCGGCAAGAGCUCAAAUUUGAAAUCUGGCUCCUUUGGAGUCCGAGUUGUAAUUUGUAGAGGGUGCUUUGGUGUCGGCUAUGGCCUAAGUUCCUUGGAACAGGACGUCACAGAGGGUGAGAACCCCGUAUGUGGCUGCUAGCCUUCACCAUGUAAAGCCCCUUCGACGAGUCGAGUUGUUUGGGAAUGCAGCUCUAAAUGGGAGGUAAAUUUCUUCUAAAGCUAAAUAUUGGCCAGAGACCGAUAGCGCACAAGUAGAGUGAUCGAAAGAUGAAAAGCACUUUGGAAAGAGAGUCAAAAAGCACGUGAAAUUGUUGAAAGGGAAGCGCUUGCAGCCAGACUUGCUCGUAGUUGCUCAUCCGAGCUUUUGCUCGGUGCACUCUUCUGCGAGCAGGCCAGCAUCAGUCCGGGCGGUUGGAUAAAGGCUCUGGGAAUGUAGCUCUCUUCGGGGAGUGUUAUAGCCCAGGGUGUCAUGCAACCAGUCUGGACUGAGGUCCGCGCAUCUGCUAGGAUGCUGGCGUAAUGGCUGUAAGCGGCCCGUCUUGAAACACGGACCAAGGAGUCUAACAUCUAUGCGAGUGUUUGGGUGUCAAGCCCGGGCGCGCAAUGAAAGUGAACGGAGGUGGGAACCCUUCGGGGCGCACCAUCGACCGAUCCUGAUGUCUUCGGAUGGAUUUGAGUAAGAGCAUAGCUGUUGGGACCCGAAAGAUGGUGAACUAUGCCUGAAUAGGGUGAAGCCAGAGGAAACUCUGGUGGAGGCUCGCAGCGGUUCUGACGUGCAAAUCGAUCGUCAAAUUUGGGCAUAGGGGCGAAAGACUAAUCGAACUAUCUAGUAGCUGGUUCCUGCCGAGUCU